AGCGAACGCUGGCGGCAGGCUUAACACAUGCAAGUCGAACGCCCCGCAAGGGGAGUGGCAGACGGGUGAGUAACACGUGGGAACGUACCCUUUGGUUCGGACUAACUUGGGGAAACUCAAGCUAAUACCGGAUAAGCCCUUAUGGGGAAAGGUUUACUGCCGAAGGAUCGGCCCGCGUCUGAUUAGCUAGUUGGUGAGGUAAUGGCUCACCAAGGCGACGAUCAGUAGCUGGUCUGAGAGGAUGAUCAGCCACACUGGGACUGAGACACGGCCCAGACUCCUACGGGAGGCAGCAGUGGGGAAUAUUGGACAAUGGGGGCAACCCUGAUCCAGCCAUGCCGCGUGAGUGAUGAAGGCCUUAGGGUUGUGAAGCUCUUUUACCCGGGACGAUAAUGACUGUACCGGGAGAAUAAGCCCCGGCUAACUUCGUGCCAGCCGCCGCCGUAA
rnacentral:rRNA from 1 species